rnacentral:rRNA from 1 species
UACGUAGGCGGUUUUUUAAGUCAGGUGUGAAAGCGUGAGGCUUAACCUCAUUAAGCACUUGAAACUGGAAGACUUGAGUGAAGGAGAGGAAAGUGGAAUUCCUAGUGUAGCGGUGAAAUGCGUAGAUAUUAGGAGGAAUACCGGUGGCGAAGGCGACUUUCUGGACUUUUACUGACGCUCAGGUACGAAAGCGUGGGGAGCAAACA